GUCGAUGUAGUAUAGUGGUGAGUAUUUCCGCCUGUCACGCGGACGACCCGGGUUCGAUCCCCGGCAUCGGCU
rnacentral:tRNA from 1 species